ACAGAGGGAGAGAAUGAAAGAGAGGAAGAGAGGAGAGAGAGAGAGUGAGUGAGAGAAAAAGGAGAAAGCAGGACCUGUUGUUGGGGCGGAACCGUUUGGGGAGUGAAGACAGGACGUGACAAGGUGCUGAACUUCGUCAACUAAAACUUCAGCGUCGUCAAACUUCGCCAAAUUAAACUUCUUCGUCAAAAGUCAUCGUCUUCUUCCCGUCUACUUCGUCUAACUUCGUCUUCGUCAGCGUCUUCUUCGUCAACUUCAUCGGCCUCCUCAACUUCCUCGUCCUAGUCAGCCUCUUCAUCAUCGUCGUCAUCAUCGUCAUCAUUGUGGUCUUUAAAUUGUCAUCCGCGGACACCUGUUAGCAGCGGGCGAAAGAAAGAAAGGAAGAGUCGGUGCAAAAUUAAUCUUCCGCGUGGAAAAUCUCUUCGGCGCUGCUGUUGUCAAGUUCCCCAACACACACUCGCUCGCUGUAAAAGAUGGAAGAGGAGGCGAACGAGCUAACCUAAAAGAAGUAGAAGAGAAGAGAAGGUAACGGAAAAGGCGGAGAAGAAGAAGAAGAAGGAGGGAAAGAAAACGGAGGGAGAGGCAGAAACCAGUUGAAAGAUUUAGCAGGCAGACUUGAUCAAGGGCGAGCGAGAAGAGCAACAGCAAGGAAGGAAGGAAGGAAGAGCGCUCAGGGGUAAGAAGCAUUGUUAAUCUUCAUGUUUACGUAUAUUAUCAAAGGU